rnacentral:rRNA from 1 species
CCUACGGGUGGCAGCAGUGAGGAAUAUUGGUCAAUGGCCGGAAGGCUGAACCAGCCAAGCCGCGUGAAGGACGAAGGUGCCACGCAUUGUAAACUUCUUUUGUCAAGGGACAAAAUCAGGCUCGAGAGCCUGACCGCGGGUACUUGAAGAAAAAGCAUCGGCUAACUCCGUGCCAGCAGCCGCGGUAAUACGGAGGAUGCGAGCGUUAUCCGGAUUUCUUGGGUUUAAAGGGUGCGUAGGCGGACUGUUAAGUCAGCGGUAAAAGUCCGGGGCUCAAACCCGGCGAGCCGUUGAAACUGGUCGUCUUGAGAUGUCGAGAGGUAUGCGGAAUGCGUAGUGUAGCGGUGAAAUGCUUAGAUAUUGCGCAGAACUCCGAUUGCGAAGGCAGCAUACCGGCGGCGAUCUGACGCUGAGGCACGAAAGCGUGGGUAUCGAACAGGAUUAGAUACCCUUGUAGUC